UCCACUCUAUUGAAGAAUCUUUCAAUAUUGAGAAUGAUCAAGUGAAGAAAGAUAUAUUUCUAAAAGGUGUGGGCAUAAGAUUCAGGGAUUUGAAAUCCAAGUUCGUGAGUGGUUGGAUCACUAAAAAGAGACAAAGAUUUGGAAGAAACAACUAUCAAGGAAAACGAAGAAGAGAAAAAUGAAAGCGAAAAGAAGCAAGCAAAUAGAUCAAGACUAUGGGAAAUCAGUGAAGUGUGCACAACAAACCGACAAUACCAAGUGAGGCUUCUACGUGAUGAAGUUCAUGCACGAUAUAGUCACAAGUUGUACGGAAGUCGAAGAUCUUGAAAAGGUAUUCAACAAUCCGAGGGAGAGACCUUUUACCAUUGAGUAGAUAAAUGAAGUUCGAGAGAAGUUGGCAAACUUCAAUACUAUUUAUUGUCUUUGAUAUUAUCUUGUAGUGAAUUUUAGAUUAUGGAUGCUAGUUUUAAUUGGAUUGUAAUGUAAUCAAUUUUUAUAUUUACAAUUACAUACUAUUCAAUUUAA